rnacentral:rRNA from 1 species
UACGAAGGGGGCUAGCGUUGCUCGGAAUCACUGGGCGUAAAGGGUGCGUAGGCGGGUCUUUAAGUCAGGGGUGAAAUCCUGGAGCUCAACUCCAGAACUGCCUUUGAUACUGAGGAUCUUGAGUUCGGGAGAGGUGAGUGGAACUGCGAGUGUAGAGGUGAAAUCCGUAGAUAUUCGCAAGAACACCAGUGGCGAAGGCGGCUCACUGGCCCGGUACUGACGCUGAGGUGCGAAAGCGUGGGGAGCAAACAGG